rnacentral:rRNA from 1 species
AUUGAACGCUGGCGGCAUGCUUUACACAUGCAAGUCGAACGGUAACGGGCCUUCGGGUGCCGACGAGUGGCGAACGGGUGAGUAAUGCAUCGGAACGUGCCCGAUCGUGGGGGAUAACGUAGCGAAAGCUAUGCUAAUACCGCAUACGAUCUGCGGAUGAAAGCGGGGGAUCGCAAGACCUCGCGCGGUCGGAGCGGCCGAUAUCAGAUUAGUUAGUUGGUGUGGUAAAGGCCUACCAAGCCGACGAUCUGUAGCUGGUCUGAGAGGACGACCAGCCACACUGGGACUGAGACACGGCCCAGACUCCUACGGGAGGCAGCAGUGGGGAAUUUUGGACAAUGGGCGCAAGCCUGAUCCAGCAAUGCCGCGUGCAGGAUGAAGGCCUUCGGGUUGUAAACUGCUUUUGUACGGAGCGAAAAGACUUCCACUAAUACUGGGGGUUUAUGACGGUACCGUAAGAAUAAGCACCGGCUAACUACGUGCCAGCCGCCGCCGUAAAAC